GGAGUUCACCAUGUAAAUUGCCUGUUCGGACAUGUAGCCCAGCCAGCGUUAGAAAGAGAAAUCGAUCUGGCGGAGCCUGGUGAGGGCGAACUCGCGAGCCGCAACGCAAGUGAACCUGAUUCGGCCUCGAUAGGAAAACGAAGGUGGCUAGUCCGCCGACUGGGAUGAAGCCUGAAACCGGUGGGGAAGCAACAGGCAAGCACUCGCCGGACCUUCCGGGGUGGUUGGGGG
rfam:Solibacter usitatus Ellin6076, complete genome.